GGGGCCAGCGUUGCUCGGAAUAACUGGGCGUAAAGGGUCUGUAGGCGGUGCGGCAAGUCGGGAGUGAAAUUUCUGGGCUUAACCCAGGGACUGCUUCCGAAACUGCCGUGCUCGAGUGCGAGAGAGGUGAGUGGAAUUGCAGGUGUAGCGGUGAAAUGCGUAGAUAUCUGCAGGAACACCCGUGGCGAAGGCGGCUCACUGGAUCGCAACUGACGCUGAGAGACGAAAGCUAGGGGAGCAAACAGGAUUAGAUACCCUGGUAGUCCUAGCCCUAAACCAUCAGGACUUGGGGUGCAUCCCGUUGGGGGUGCGUCCCGUAGCUAACGCGUUAAGUCCUGCGCCUGGGGAGUACGGUCGCAAGACUGAAACUCAAAGGAAUUGACGGGGGCCCGCACAAG
rnacentral:rRNA from 1 species